UACGGAGGGUGCAAGCGUUAUCCGGAUUCACUGGGUUUAAAGGGUGCGUAGGUGGAUUAGUAAGUCAGUGGUGAAAUCUCCGGGCUUAACCCGGAAACUGCCAUUGAUACUAUUAGUCUUGAAUACCGUGGAGGUCAGCGGAAUAUGUCAUGUAGCGGUGAAAUGCUUAGAUAUGACAUAGAACACCAAUUGCGAAGGCAGCUGGCUACACGAGCAUUGACACUCAGGCACGAAAGCGUGGGGAUCAAACGGG
rnacentral:rRNA from 1 species